GAGACUCAAAGGCAGCAGAAAGCUCUGUGCCCUCAGCUCAGGCCGAAGAGACAGAAUAACCAGGUCUAGAAAUUCUGGUCUAGAAAUUCCACUUCCCAGGCUUCAUCAUGAACCUUGGCUCCCAGCCAGGCCCCUAUCUACCUGAUUGGCUAACUGUCCCCUGACAGGGGAUCUGAGCAACCCCUGAGGCUCACAAGUUUUCCUUAGAACAAUCUCUUUCACUCAAACGUCCAUUUCCAGCAGUGUUUGGUCUUCCUGCACCAAACAGAAGAUAAAAACUUGAUGCUGGGAGAAAAGAAAAGUGACCCAAGAGCCAGACCAGUAGCCAAGGCUAGCUAGCUCCUGAGACCAGGCUAGUCUUCACAACCCUACAUCCACCCCUCAGUAGCUGGCACAUCCUCAGCAGAUGGUACCCACUCCAACUGUAUCCUUCAUGUUUACAUUUGCCUGGUGAUACUGAGUCCAAAACUUAACAGGCUGAGAGAAGAGGAAAGAAAACAUGUUGGACUCACUGAUGGCUCUGUGCAUUCAGAGGAGUGAAAGCAAGCUGCCGAGGAGACUCAGAGUAGAGCAGCCACCAGGAAGAAGCAGAAACCAGACAGGCUGCCUGGAAGAGCUUUGGACACUCCCCAACCUGUUGAGAUGCCUGUGGCCUGUGCAGUGAGCUCCAGGUUCCCAGCUUUGUGAGCUGUCACCCGUGUCAGGGUGGCCUCCGUAAUUUGAGUCCUUUUGGCUCCUGUAAGUACCCCUCACCCAUAUUUCUCUAAGUGACCCCAAUAAAACUC